UUUACACACACACAAAAAAAACACAUAAAUAAAUCAAAUUAGAUAAUAUCUGUCGUUUUUUAAUAAAAUUGUUGACUACGAGAUUUUUUAUUCUGAAGUCUGGCAACACUGCAUAAAGGAAAUUGUGUUUAUUUUGGUUACGGUGUUCGUGUUCGAGUGUAAUUUCAUUUCAAAUGGAAAAGAAAAAUUUUAAUAAAUUUCAAAAAAGUUAUGAAUGUAAAAAGGAACCAGAAUUGGAUUGCAACUGUGAGAAAAAAGAAGAAUGGGACUGCACAAUUCAUGGACUCUCUGUUGAUGUGCAAGUGCAGGUGAAUAUUAAUCAAAGACUACAUCUACAAAAUUCUUAUGACAUGAAGUAAUAUGAGAAUUUUUUAUUGGAAUGGAAGCAUUAAUUGAAUCUGAUUAUCAGUCCUCGCCUAAUUUACCAGAGAAUCUCUCCAUCCGACCGUCGUCGAUACCUGGAGUUGGUUAUGGAAUUUGGUCCAACACAGAAAUUCCCAAAGAAGUUAUUUUUGGUCCUUAUGAAGUUCUUACGUAUCAAAAUAUCGAUUCGGGACAAAAGAGUGAAGCAAUAAAACAUAAUUGGUAAAAAGUUAAUUACUGAAAAUGUUUGCUUUAUACAAUCUUAUUUCAAAACAAUUUUGUUUGAAUGAAAAUAUUUAGGCUUAUCUUCAAUGUUCAUUAAUUGGAUAUAUCAAAACCAGAUUGUUAAAUAUGUUACAUUGGCAGUCAGUUAUCGUGUAAUUGUUCCAUAGAAGCAAGAAUAGAUUAGUAUAAUGAUUGACACUGCCAAGAUUGUACAAAAAUGUAAUCUUGACAAGUACAAUUGCUGUUUUCAUUUAAAUUCCACACAACCAAUUUCUGAAGAAGUAAACGUGUUAAUAUGACUAGACAGUGUAAGUGUUAUCUAUAGUAUACUGUUUAGCUGCAAUAAAUGUUAAGGUCAAGUAUUUUUGACAGUUCUUUCAGCUAGUAUGGAAGCUCCUAGAUCUGUUCAAGUUGUAAUGUGAAUGUGCUAUACUUUGAGAAUAAUAGCAUAUGUUGCCAACUAGUUAGAUAACACAAAUGUGCAUUACUUUUGUUUGUUAAGUGCUAUUUAGAGGAAAAAUGGAGCUUAUGGAAGAAAUGCUCAAAGAGGUAUUAAUUAAAGGCAAAAAAAGAACAUUCUCAAAUAGUAUACUAGAUAUCUUCCUCCUAGCAUUGAGGUCCUGCUUCUAUGCAGGGUCUACUUUCUUGCAUGCCCUUCUCCAUUUGGUAUGGUCCAAGGUGUUGCCGGGGUGACGUUCACCGUUCUCAUGUCAUCUUGCAGUAUACUAGAUAUGAUAUGUGUGAAAGUAGCCAAGGUUACGGAGUAAGUAGUACUCGAGUAACACUUACAGGCACUAGUCGGUAAGACCAGCUC